rnacentral:ncRNA from 1 species
GAAGCUCCGAUGAGGAAGAAAAGUAAAAAAAAUCCGGGUUGAUCAGAGAGGAAAUGCCUUGGCUGCGAGCAUUUCUCAAUUCCGUUUUUUCGAAAGACACUUCCAAGGAUCGUCUCCGAACAGGUAGCUCAGUAGGGGAUGACGUAAACAGGCGUUAACUGUUUAAGCGGAAGGACUCGUCCUUCCAUUAGGGUGGCACCGCGGGUAACUCUCGUCCCUGAA